CUACGGGUGGCAGCAGUGAGGAAUAUUGCACAAUGGGGGAAACCCUGAUGCAGCAACGCCGCGUGGAGGAUGACGCAUUUCGGUGUGUAAACUCCUUUUAUGAGUCAAGAAAAUGACGGUAGCUCAUGAAUAAGCACCGGCUAACUCCGUGCCAGCAGCCGCGGUAAUACGGAGGGUGCAAGCGUUACUCGGAAUCACUGGGCGUAAAGGACGCGUAGGCGGGUUGUCAAGUCAGGUGUGAAAUCCUACAGCUUAACUGUAGAACUGCACUUGAAACUGGCAACCUAGAGUAUGGGAGGGGGAGAUGGAAUUAGUGGUGUAGGGGUAAAAUCCGUAGAUAUCACUAGGAAUACCGAAAGCGAAGGCGAUCUCCUGGAACAUUACUGACGCUAAGGCGUGAAAGCGUGGGGAGCAAACAGGAUUAGAUACCCGAGUAGUC
rnacentral:rRNA from 1 species